rnacentral:rRNA from 1 species
CUCUUCUUGAAUAUAUUUUGAUGUAUGGCCUGCCCACUGAAUAUUGAAGGGCCGCGGUAUUUUGACCGUGCAAAGGUAGCAUAAUCAUUAGUCUUUUAAUUGUAGGCUGGAAUGAAUGGUUUGACGAGGUGUUAACUGUCUUUAUUUUUUUUUUGAACUUAAAUUUUAGGUUAAAAUGCCUAAAUGUUUUUUUGGGACGAGAAGACCCUAUAGAGUUUUAUAUAUUUUUAUUUUUUUUGUAUGAGAAUUUCUAAUGUAAAAAUUUAUUUUGUUGGGGUGAUGGAAAGAUUUAAUUAACUCUUUUUAUUUAUUUUAUAUUUAUUUAUAUGUAUUUGAUCCAUUUAUGUUGAUUAUAARACUAAAUUACC